UGGGUCUCUAUGGGGCACUUAUGGGGCACAGAGGUGGCUAUGGGGCUCUAUGGGGCAGGUAUGGGUCUCUAUGGGUUUCUAUGGGGCACUUAUGGGUCUCUGUGUGUCUCUAUGGGGCAGUUAUGGGUCUCUGUGUGUCUCUAUGGGGCAGUUAUGGGUCUCUGUGGGUCUCUGUGGGGCACUUAUGGGGCGCAGAGGUGGCUAUGGGGCAGGUAUGGGUCUCUAUGGGUUUCUAUGGGGCAGUUAUGGGUCUCUGUGGGUCUCUAUGGGGCACUUAUGGGGCACAGAGGUGGCUAUGGGUCUCUAUGGGUUUCUAUGGGGCACUUAUGGGGCACAGAGGUGGCUAUGGGGCAGGUAUGGGUCUCCAUUGCAUUCUAUGGGGCAGUUAUGGGUCUCAGUGGGUUUCUAUGGGGCACUUAUGGGGCACAGAGGUGGUUAUGGGGCACUUAUGGGUCUCUGUGGGUCUCUAUGGGGCACUUAUGGGUCUCUAUGGGGCGGCUAUGGGUCUCUAUGGGGCAGCUAUGGGGCUCUAUGGGGAUCCCUUUAGCCCCUCCCCCUCCCCUUUAGCCCCGCCCCCAUUUCCCUCUAGCCCCGCCCCUUUCCCCUUUAGCCCCGCCCCCCUCCCUAGCCCCGCCCCUCACCCCCCAACAUGACCUCUAGUGACCCCAGCCACACCGUAACCUUAGCCCCGCCCCGUUUCGCCUUAAGCCCCGCCCCUCCCCAUUCAAGCCGCCGUGGGGGGGCGUGGCCUGCGAGCCAAGGGGCGUGACCUGCGGGCCCGGGGGGCGUGGCCUCCCAUCUCCCCCCUCCCCACGGAGCGCCGCGGCCCCAUCACGUGGCCACUCCCCCUUCCCAGGUGAAGGCGCAGCGCUGU
rnacentral:lncRNA from 1 species